ACGGCCAUACCACAUUAAUAACACCUGUGCUCAUCCGAUCAUCCAAGUUAAGCAAUGUCUGGCCCGGUCAGUAUUUGGGAGGGUGACCACCACCUGGAAACACCAGGGUGCUGUGGUA